AUUUUGCAUAAUUUUAUUUUGUUGUUUCUUUACCUAAAACACACAUAACUGUAACAUUUUAGACAGUUUUUAAAGUUUGUUCUUCAGUAUUCUCAAUUUCAUUUCCAUUUGGAGCAUUCUUUCACAGUGUACAAAUAAUAUUUGGGUCCACUAUAUGACGUGUGAGGUAGACAAAUCUGCGGCUAUUGUAGUUUACAUGCUGUUGUCUUGCCAACCAAAAGCAGUAUAACUGGGUGAACCGUAGGGUACGUAUGUCAUGAUCAUAUUUUCUGCUUAGUCUGUGGUGUGAGGAGGUCAGCAAACGCAGAUCUAGCUAAAGAAAGAUGACUGUAAUAAUCAAAGUUGAGUUUUGAGGAAAAUGAAAGCGUAACUUCCAGUUUGAGGAGCUCGCCCGAACCGUAUGGGCGAAGUUCCACGAUGCGAAGAUGUCGGGCUCCCCCGGGAGGAAAGGCAGUUUUGAGAUUGAGAUCAAUGGACAGCUAGUCUUCUCCAAACUC